rnacentral:rRNA from 1 species
UGCCAGCCGCCGCGGUAAUACGGAGGGUGCAAGCGUUAAUCGGAAUUACUGGGCGUAAAGCGCGCGUAGGCGGCUUUUUAAGUCGGAUGUGAAAGCCCCGGGCUCAACCUGGGAACUGCAUCCGAUACUGGAAGGCUAGAGUGCGAGAGAGGGAGGUAGAAUUCCAUGUGUAGCGGUGAAAUGCGUAGAUAUAUGGAGGAAUACCAGUGGCGAAGGCGGCCUCCUGGCUCGACACUGACGCUGAGGUGCGAAAGCGUGGGGAGCAAACAGGAUUAGAUA